UAGGGAAUCUUCGNCAAUGGACGGAAGUCUGACCGAGCAACGCCGCGUGAGUGAAGAAGGUUUUCGGAUCGUAAAGCUCUGUUGUAAGAGAAGAACGAGUGUGAGAGUGGAAAGUUCACACUGUGACGGUAUCUUACCAGAAAGGGACGGCUAACUACGUGCCAGCAGCCGCGGUAAUACGUAGGUCCCGAGCGUUGUCCGGAUUUAUUGGGCGUAAAGCGAGCGCAGGCGGUUAGAUAAGUCUGAAGUUAAAGGCUGUGGCUUAACCAUAGUAGGCUUUGGAAACUGUUUAACUUGAGUGCAAGAGGGGAGAGUGGAAUUCCAUGUGUAGCGGUGAAAUGCGUAGAUAUAUGGAGGAACACCGGUGGCGAAAGCGGCUCUCUGGCUUGUAACUGACGCUGAGGCUCGAAAGCGUGGGGAGCAAACAGGAUUAGAUACCCUGGUAGUCCACGCUGUAAACGAUGAGUGCUAGGUGUUAGACCCUUUCCGGGGUUUAGUGCCGUAGCUAACGCAUUAAGCACUCCGCCUGGGGAGUACGACCGCAAGGUUG
rnacentral:rRNA from 1 species